rnacentral:rRNA from 1 species
GUUCUCCCCGAAAGCUAUUUAGGUAGCGCCUCGUGAAUUCAUCUCCGGGGGUAGAGCACUGUUUCGGCUAGGGGGCCAUCCUGGCUUACCAACCCGAUGCAAACUGCGAAUACCGGAGAAUGUUAUCACGGGAGACACACGGCGGGUGCUAACGUCCGUCGUGAAGAGGGAAACAACCCAGACCGCCAGCUAAGGUCCCAAAGUCAUGGUUAAGUGGGAAACGAUGUGGGAAGGCCCAGACAGCCAGGAUGUUGGCUUAGAAGCAGCCAUCAUUUAAAGAAAGCGUAAUAGCUCACUGGUCGAGUCGGCCUGCGCGGAAGAUGUAACGGGGCUAAACCAUGCACCGAAGCUGCGGCAGCGACACUCAGGUGUUGUUGGGUAGGGGAGCGUUCUGUAAGCCUGUGAAGGUGGCCUGUGAGGGUUGCUGGAGGUAUCAGAAGUGCGAAUGCUGACAUAAGUAACGAUAAAGCGGGUGAAAAGCCCGCUCGCCGGAAGACCAAGGGUUCCUGUCCAACGUUAAUCGGGGCAGGGUGAGUCGACCCCUAAGGCGAGGCCGAAAGGCGUAGUCGAUGGGAAACGGGUUAAUAUUCCCGUACUUGGUGUUACUGCGAAGGGGGGACGGAGAAGGCUAUGUUGGCCGGGCGACGGUUGUCCCGGUUUAAGCGUGUAGGUGUGUGUUCCAGGUAAAUCCGGUUCACUUUAACACUGAGGCGUGAUGACGAGGCACUACGGUGCUGAAGCAACAAAUGCCCUGCUUCCAGGAAAAGCCUCUAAGCAUCAGGUAACAUCAAAUCGUACCCCAAACCGACACAGGUGGUCAGGUAGAGAAUACCAAGGCGCUUGAGAGAACUCGGGUGAAGGAACUAGGCAAAAUGGUGCCGUAACUUCGGGAGAAGGCACGCUGACACGUAGGUGAAGUGAUUUACUCAUGGAGCUGAAGUCAGUCGAAGAUACCAGCUGGCUGCAACUGUUUAUUAAAAACACAGCACUGUGCAAACACGAAAGUGGACGUAUACGGUGUGACGCCUGCCCGGUGCCGGAAGGUUAAUUGAUGGGGUCAGCGCAAGCGAAGCUCCUGAUCGAAGCCCCGGUAAACGGCGGCCGUAACUAUAACGGUCCUAAGGUAGCGAAAUUCCUUGUCGGGUAAGUUCCGACCUGCACGAAUGGCGUAAUGAUGGCCAGGCUGUCUCCACCCGAGACUCAGUGAAAUUGAACUCGCUGUGAAGAUGCAGUGUACCCGCGGCAAGACGGAAAGACCCCGUGAACCUUUACUAUAGCUUGACACUGAACAUUGAGCCUUGAUGUGUAGGAUAGGUGGGAGGCUUUGAAGUGUGGACGCCAGUCUGCAUGGAGCCGGCCUUGAAAUACCACCCUUUAAUGUUUGAUGUUCUAACGUGGACCCGUGAUCCGGGUUGCGGACAGUGUCUGGUGGGUAGUUUGACUGGGGCGGUCUCCUCCUAAAGAGUAACGGAGGAGCACGAAGGUUGGCUAAUCCUGGUCGGACAUCAGGAGGUUAGUGCAAUGGCAUAAGCCAGCUUGACUGCGAGCGUGACGGCGCGAGCAGGUGCGAAAGCAGGUCAUAGUGAUCCGGUGGUUCUGAAUGGAAGGGCCAUCGCUCAACGGAUAAAAGGUACUCCGGGGAUAACAGGCUGAUACCGCCCAAGAGUUCAUAUCGACGGCGGUGUUUGGCACCUCGAUGUCGGCUCAUCACAUCCUGGGGCUGAAGUAGGUCCCAAGGGUAUGGCUGUUCGCCAUUUAAAGUGGUACGCGAGCUGGGUUUAGAACGUCGUGAGACAGUUCGGUCCCUAUCUGCCGUGGGCGCUGGAGAACUGAGGGGGGCUGCUCCUAGUACGAGAGGACCGGAGUGGACGCAUCACUGGUGUUCGGGUUGUCAUGCCAAUGGCACUGCCCGGUAGCUAAAUGCGGAAGAGAUAAGUGCUGAAAGCAUCUAAGCACGAAACUUGCCCCGAGAUGAGUUCUCCCUGAGACUUUAGGUCUCCUGAAGGAACGUUGAAGACGACGACGUUGAUAGGCCGGGUGUGUAAGCGCAGCGAUGCGUUGAGCUAACCGGUACUAAUGAACCGUGAGGCUUAACCUUACAACGCCGAAG